rnacentral:rRNA from 1 species
UGAGGAAUAUUGGGCAAUGCCCGCAAGGGUGACCCAGCAACGCCGCGUGGAGGAUGAAUGUCGUAAGAUUGUAAACUCCUGUUAGAGGGGAAGAAUAGUACCGGUUGGACCGGUAUAUGACUGUACCCUCAGAGAAAGCCCCGGCUAACUACGUGCCAGCAGCCGCGGUAAUACGAAGGGGGCUAGCGUUGCUCGGAAUCACUGGGCGUAAAGCGCACGUAGGCGGACUCUUAAGUCGAUGGUGAAAUCCUGGAGCUCAACUCCAGAACUGCCUUCGAUACUGGGAGUCUUGAGUUCGGGAGAGGUGAGUGGAACUGCGAGUGUAGAGGUGAAUUCGUAGAUAUUCGCAAGAACACCAGUGGCGAAGGCGGCUCACUGGCCCGAUACUGACGCUGAGGUGCGAAAGCGUGGGGAGCAAACA